rnacentral:rRNA from 1 species
UACGUAGGGGGCAAGCGUUGUCCGGAUUUAUUGGGCGUAAAGAGCGUGUAGGCGGCCAGAUAGGUCGGUUGUGAAAACCGGAGGCUCAACCUCCAGACGUCGAUCGAAACCAUCUGGCUAGAGUCCGGAAGAGGAGAAUGGAAUUCCUGGUGUAGCGGUGAAAUGCGCAGAUAUCAGGAAGAACACCCGUGGCGAAGGCGGUUCUCUGGGACGGUACUGACGCUGAGACGCGAAAGCGUGGGGAGCGAACAGG